GAGAGCUCCUCUGUAAGCCAGGUUGACUAAAUUGGUCUCAGUUAAUUUGGAAAUUCACUCUUCCCUAUGUCCAUGGGAAGUACCUCAGCCACCUGAUACAUCUUAGCAUUCCCCUUGCCCUUUUCACCUGGCUGUGUAAUCACUGUGGCACCACAGACCCAUCUCAUGCUGGAGCAGAGCAGUCCCUCACCUCUUCCCAUCCCAGAACUGUACUUUCAAGGACAUCCAUUCCUCUCAGUACCUUAUCCCAGUUCUCCUCUCUGCUGAAGAGAGUUUGGGGCAUCAGCACAUUUUUCUCUUUUCUGCCAAGAUCAUUAAUAGGAAUAUUAAGUUCUGUGCCUGACCCUUGAGGAAGACCCCAGAAAAUGCCUCCAGCAAGCUAAUACUAUCUAUGAAAAAUUGUGAAAAUCCCGAUUGCUGCCUGAGAAACUGAAGCAUCACUUCUGUCUGUGUGACAUCCUCUCUCCACGUGCCUCCCAGCCAGCAGAGCAAAGCACUGCUGAAGUUUCUGCAGCCAGACUCUAAGAGCCCGUGUGCUGGAUGGGCUGGACACAUCAGCUCUGUCUCCAGGUGUGGGAUCACCGCCCCCAUCUCUGCCAAGCCAGCAGGAAAGGAUUGGCUCCAGCUCUUAACCCCCUGGGAUGUUAGAGCAUCUCCUCAAGCUCUGCUUUGCAAGCCUGGAGGUGCAAUCCCGAAUGUUACCCCUGCCUGGGGUUGUAGCCGCUCCAUCAAAGCCUCCUGGCCACGUCGGUGUUGUCGCAGCUCCAGAAGCUCCUGGAGGGGCAGGUGACCGAGCCACCAGCUGUGUCCCCUGGGAAGUGACAAGGGAGGCUGCAGGGUGGCCUUGCACAUGUUCAGGGUGCCUGGGGACAGCAGAGAUGUACUCAGGGUGCUGUCGUGGGUCCUGUGGGACACCUGUGUCCGCCCAGAGCUGCAGCAGGAGAGAGGCUGAUACCCCAGCACCACACACAUCCCCAAAAUGGACAGGCAAUGGAGCCUGGGGGCCUUGGCUGUGGAUCUGAAGUUCCCUGUUUGUAUCAGGACUGUAUUUUGUCUUACUGGUUCAUGUCUUGUUAAAUGGCUGAGGGAUGUUAUAAGCAUGUGACUCAUCUGUUAUUGCAUAUAGAUAAUUAUAGCACUUCUAAGCAACCUAUUGGACACUCUAGCCAGACCAUUAAAUAAUUGCUCAUUCUUUAUAAACAUUGUUUUGACAUGAGGUGGGUCCAGCAGAGGAAACAGAAAUGUGAGCCAGUCCUCCAGGGAUCUCUCUAAUGCCUAAUUGCUGUGCUGUGUCCCUAAUAUUUUUUCCUGAGCUGGGAAAUCCAUCUUUUUGACUAGAAGUCUUUAUUUUGAAGUGUUUGGGGUUUUUACCUACUUAUUGAAUGAUUCAGCCAGACAGUUUCCAAUCUGCAUGUUCUGCACCGUGCUGAAGUUACACCACCCUUGACACAUAAUGAAAAUAUUGCACACCAACAAGCCAGCAGCUGUGCAAGUCAAACUGGUUGUCUCAGUGUUGUUGUCAGCUGAAAUCCCAAUCUAAUAAUAAACCUGGAAGCUGUUGACAGGAGUAGUUUCCAUGCUGUCUGGCACUCACUGUGGAGCAGGGGAAUGGCACGGAGCAAAGCUGUCCCCAGAAGCCUGAGUGGCCUGUGGGGACAGUGUUGGCAGCCCUGCAAAGCAAAGUGGCUUUGAUGUCUCCAUGGAUGGAAAAGAUGCUGAUCAGCCUUUAGUCUGGGCUGAGGGAAGUGGUUUCUCUCUUCCCCUUUGCACUCCAGGAGGUACAGAAUUUUAGGAGAUAAAUUUGGGAUGAAUGCCUACCAAAAAUAAACAGUUGGAAGGCGGAUUGGGUGCAUCCUGGUAAUGAAAAGGAAAUUCAGGUGCAGUGGUAAACUUGGUGAGCUUGGCCUUCAGCACUGGAUGUAAAAUUGAAGAUCUACAUGAAAUCACCUCAAACAUGUGUGUGAUGUGAGAGACUGGGAUUGUUCAAGGGAACAAUUGCCUAGGGAGCCCAGGACUGAACUCUGUUAAUGAACCCUUAAUGCCGUUCCCUCAGUGUCCUCAGGCAUUUAUUGUAUCCCAGACAUUUCUGCGCUCUCUUAAAACUUCCAUCUCUUGCAGAUGAUUGCAGGGCCCAUGAAUAUUCUGUAUUAGAUCCCAAGUGAGAAGUACACCAGUGGGACAAGGAUUAACACAGCAGUUUCGGUCUGAAGACAUUUGGAUGUGGUGCCACAUGGAGAUGAAAAACUCACUGUGUGGUGGCAGCAGUCUGGGCCCUCCCUGGUCCCCCACCUCUCCCCCUGCAGAUUGAGAGGUGUUUUCUAUUGAGUUCAUAAAAGAAACACCACACAGAAUCCCCUGGCCGUGGCAAUAGAUUCAAUCAGUCUCAGUCCAUUAGCUUAACUAAUCAAUAGCUGUAAGUGCCAUAAUGCUGCCUCCUACUUCAUCACAAAAGCUGAAAACUUACAGGAGGCCACGUGUAAUUACGGGCACUCCCUCCAUUAACUUCAGGAAAAUUAAACAGCCAAUAUUUGGGUGUCUGGCAGGUUACUUCUCUCAGGAAAGCUGGCACAUCCAACUCUAACAGAGCUGAU